AUUGAACGCUGGCGGCAGGCUUAACACAUGCAAGUCGAGCGGAGACUUCGGUCUUAGCGGCGAACGGGUGAGUAAUACCUAGGAAUCUGCCUAUUAGUGGGGGAUAACGAAUCGAAAGGUUCGCUAAUACCGCAUACGUCCUACGGGAGAAAGGGGGGGAGUCUUCGGACCUCUCGCUAAUAGAUGAGCCUAGGCCGGAUUAGCUAGUUGGUAGGGUAAAGGCCUACCAAGGCGACGAUCUGUAGCUGGUCUGAGAGGAUGGCCAGCCACACUGGAACUGAGACACGGUCCAGACUCCUACGGGAGGCAGCAGUGGGGAAUAUUGGACAAUGGGGGCAACCCUGAUCCAGCCAUGCCGCGUGUGUGAAGAAGGCCUUC
rnacentral:rRNA from 1 species